rnacentral:rRNA from 1 species
GAUGAACGCUGGCGGCGUGCCUAAUACAUGCAAGUCGAGCGAACGGACGAGAAGCUUGCUUUUCUGAUGUUAGCGGCGGACGGGUGAGUAACACGUGGAUAACCUACCUAUAAGACUGGGAUAACUUCGGGAAACCGGAGCUAAUACCGGAUAAUAUUUUGUACAGCAUGGUUCAAAAGUGAAAGACGGUCUUGCUGUCACUUAUAGAUGGAUCCGCGCUGCAUUAGCUAGUUGGUAAGGUAACGGCUUACCAAGGCAACGAUGCAUAGCCGACCUGAGAGGGUGAUCGGCCACACUGGAACUGAGACACGGUCCAGACUCCUACGGGAGGCAGCAGUAGGGAAUCUUCCGCAAAGGGCGAAAGCCUGACGGAGCAACGCCGCGUGAGUGAUGAAGGUCUUCGGAUCGUAAAACUCUGUUAUUAGGGAAGAACAUAUGUGUAAGUAACUGUGCACAUCUUGACGGUACCUAAUCAGAAAGCCACGGCUAACUACGUG